GCGAUUUGGCUGCUGCAGCCCAGGGUGAAGGGGUAUCAGACGACACCCCCCAGAUGCCAGAGCUCCUGCGGGCUGACCCAACAGGCUGGAGGAGGGAGCCCCCAGACCCCCAGCCUCCUGGACACAGGAGGAGAAGCUGCCAUGAGGGGAGCAAUCUUCCUCCGCCGUGCCCAUCUGCCAUGCUUUGGUGCCAACAGACCAUGGACGCGACCUCUGAAACUACGAGCCAAAAUAAACCUUUACUCCUUUA